rnacentral:rRNA from 1 species
UACGUAGGGGGCGAGCGUUGUCCGGAUUUAUUGGGCGUAAAGAGCUCGUAGGCGGUUCGGUAAGUCGGGUGUGAAACCUCCAGGCUCAACCUGGAGAUGCCACCUGAUACUGCUGUGACUCGAGUCCGGUAGGGGAGCGUGGAAUUCCUGGUGUAGCGGUGAAAUGCGCAGAUAUCAGGGAGGAACACCCAGCGGCGGAAAGGCGGGCGCUCUGGGCCGGAACUGACGCUGGAGGAAGCGAAAGCGUCGGGUAGCAAACAGGG